rnacentral:rRNA from 1 species
AGUGAACGCUGGCGGUAGGCCUAACACAUGCAAGUCGAACGGCAGCACAGUAAGAGCUUGUUCUUACGGGUGGCGAGUGGCGGACGGGUGAGGAAUACAUCGGAAUCUACUUUUUCGUGGGGGAUAACGUAGGGAAACUUACGCUAAUACCGCAUACGACCUACGGGUGAAAGCAGGGGAUCUUCGGACCUUGCGCGAUUGAAUGAGCCGAUGUCGGAUUAGCUAGUUGGCGGGGUAAAGGCCCACCAAGGCGACGAUCCGUAGCUGGUCUGAGAGGAUGAUCAGCCACACUGGAACUGAGACACGGUCCAGACUCCUACGGGAGGCAGCAGAGGGGAAUAUUGGACAAUGGGCGCAAGCCUGAUCCAGCCAUACCGCGUGGGUGAAGAAGGCCUUCGGGUUGUAAAGCCCUUUUGUUGGGAAAGAAAAGCAGCAGGUUAAUACCCCGCUGUUCUGACGGUACCCAAAGAAUAAGCACCGGCUAACUUCGUG